UUUGCGGGACAAUCAUAGUGAACCGGGCAAUAACUUUAUAUUACUUUUGUACGCAAAAUGCUCUUUCUAACUGGUUUGAGGAUUGUAGCUGAAUGUAAUGAGGUGGUAUAUGUAAUUUGAAAAUUGUAAGAGUGAUUUUUAAUUCAUGCGGUGAUAUUCAUAUUAAAGUCAUAUACUGGAACA